UACGAAGGGGGCUAGCGUUGCUCGGAAUUACUGGGCGUAAAGCGCACGUAGGCGGCUUCUUAAGUCGGUGGUGAAAUCCUGGAGCUCAACUCCAGAACUGCCUUCGAUACUGGGAAGCUCGAGUCCGGGAGAGGUGAGUGGGAACUGCGGAGUGUAGAGGUGAAAUUCGUAGAAUAUUCGCAAGAACACCAGUGGCGAAGGCGGCUUACUGGUCCGGUUCUGGACGCUGAGGCGCGAAAGCGUGGGGAGCAAACAGG
rnacentral:rRNA from 1 species